rnacentral:rRNA from 1 species
CACUGCAUUCUGUGCAGUAUCCUAAGUUGAAUACAUAGACUUAGAGAAGCGAACCCGGAGAACUGAACCAUCUAAGUACCCGGAGGAAAAGAAAUCAACCGAGAUUCCGCAAGUAGUGGCGAGCGAACGCGGAGGAGCCUGUACGUGAUAAUUGUCGAGAUAGAAGAACAAGCUGGGAAGCUUGGCCAUAGUGGGUGAUAGUCCCGUAUUCGAAAUCUCAAUAGUGGUACUAAGCGUACGAAAAGUAGGGCGGGACACGUGAAAUCCUGUCUGAAUAUGGGGGGACCAUCCUCCAAGGCUAAAUACUCAUCAUCGACCGAUAGUGAACCAGUACCGUGAGGGAAAGGCGAAAAGAACCCCGGGAGGGGAGUGAAAUAGAACCUGAAACCUGAUGCAUACAAACAGUGGGAGCACUCUUAUGGUGUGACUGCGUACCUUUUGUAUAAUGGGUCAACGACUUACAUUCAGUAGCGAGCUUAACCGGAUAGGGGAGGCGUAGGGAAACCGAGUCUUAAUAGGGCGAAGAGUUGCUGGGUGUAGACCCGAAACCGAGUGAUCUAUCCAUGGCCAGGUUGAAGGUGCCGUAACAGGUACUGGAGGACCGAACCCACGCAUGUUGCAAAAUGCGGGGAUGAGCUGUGGAUAGGGGUGAAAGGCUAAACAAACUCGGAGAUAGCUGGUUCUCCCCGAAAACUAUUUAGGUAGUGCCUCGAGCAAGACACUGAUGGGGGUAAAGCACUGUUAUGGCUAGGGGGUUAUUGCAACUUACCAACCCAUGGCAAACUCAGAAUACCAUCAAGUGGUUCCUCGGGAGACAGACAGCGGGUGCUAACGUCCGUUGUCAAGAGGGAAACAACCCAGACCGCCAGCUAAGGUCCCAAAUGAUAGAUUAAGUGGUAAACGAAGUGGGAAGGCCCAGACAGCCAGGAUGUUGGCUUAGAAGCAGCCAUCAUUUAAAGAAAGCGUAAUAGCUCACUGGUCGAGUCGUCCUGCGCGGAAGAUGUAACGGGGCUCAAAUCUAUAACCGAAGCUGCGGAUGCUAGUUUACUAGCAUGGUAGGGGAGCGUUCUGUAGGCCGAAGAAGGUGCAUUGUAAAGUGUGCUGGAGGUAUCAGAAGUGCGAAUGUUGACAUGAGUAGCGAUAAAGCGGGUGAAAAGCCCGCUCGCCGAAAGCCCAAGGUUUCCUACGCAACGUUCAUCGGCGUAGGGUGAGUCGGCCCCUAAGGCGAGGCAGAAAUGCGUAGUCGAUGGGAAACAGGUUAAUAUUCCUGUACUUGAUUCAAAUGCGAUGUGGGGACGGAGAAGGUUAGGUUAGCAAGCUGUUGGAAUAGCUUGUUUAAGCCGGUAGGUGGAAGACUUAGGCAAAUCCGGGUCUUCUUAACACCGAGAAGUGACGACGAGUGUCUACGGACAUGAAGUAACCGAUACCACGCUUCCAGGAAAAGCCACUAAGCUUCAGUUUGAAUCGAACCGUACCGCAAACCGACACAGGUGGGCAGGAUGAGAAUUCUAAGGCGCUUGAGAGAACUCGGGAGAAGGAACUCGGCAAAUUGAUACCGUAACUUCGGGAGAAGGUAUGCCCUCUAAGGUUAAGGACUUGCUCCGUAAGCCCUGGAGGGUCGCAGAGAAUAGGUGGCUGCGACUGUUUAUUAAAAACACAGCACUCUGCUAACACGAAAGUGGACGUAUAGGGUGUGACGCCUGCCCGGUGCUGGAAGGUUAAUUGAAGAUGUGAGAGCAUCGGAUCGAAGCCCCAGUAAACGGCGGCCGUAACUAUAACGGUCCUAAGGUAGCGAAAUUCCUUGUCGGGUAAGUUCCGACCCGCACGAAUGGCGUAACGAUGGCCACACUGUCUCCUCCCGAGACUCAGCGAAGUUGAAGUGGUUGUGAAGAUGCAAUCUACCCGCUGCUAGACGGAAAGACCCCGUGAACCUUUACUGUAGCUUUGCAUUGGACUUUGAAGUCACUUGUGUAGGAUAGGUGGGAGGCUUAGAAGCAGGGACGCCAGUCUCUGUGGAGCCGUCCUUGAAAUACCACCCUGGUGGCUUUGAGGUUCUAACCCAGACCCGUUAUCCGGGUCGGGGACCGUGCAUGGUAGGC